AAUCUAUAAAAUGGUAUCGAUAAAUUAUUUAGUACAGUAGAGGAUCCGAUAUAAGGUCGAACUACAUCGAUCUGUUUAAGGGGAAACGCGCAAAAUGCCACCUGUCAAAAUUUUCAAUGUGCUUUAAAUCUUAGACUAAGUAAUAUAGAAUGAAGUGAUAUACAAAUAAAAUUAAGUUUUAGUAAAAUGUGGACAUGUGGAGUGAGUAAUUUUGUAGAAUUUUGAAAUGAAUAAAAGCGUAUA
rnacentral:lncRNA from 1 species